UGUCUAGUACAAGCCGCUGAUNCACGGACGAGACUGCGGACGGCUCANUAAAUCGGUUAUGACUCCACUGGGGACAGACUCACCCNGUGGAUAACGUGCGGUAACUCCGGUGCUAAUACAUGCAACAAGGCUCCGACCCCGCUUCGCGGCGGGGGAAGGGCGCACUUAUUAGGCGAAAACCAACGACCCGCUCGCGGGCCUUGGUGGACGACACCCGAGUAAUUGCCGCCGAUCGCACGGCCUCCGAGCCGGCGACACCUUCACUGAGUUUCUGAUCUAUCAUGCUGACGACGGUUGGUGCUAUGCCAACCGUGGCGUUAACGGAUAACAGAGAAUCUGGGUUCGAUUCUGGAGAGGCCGCAUGAGAAACGGCGACCACUUCCAAGGAAGGCAGCAGGCACGCAAAUUACCCACUUCGGACACCGAGAGGUAGUGACGAACAAUACCGAUGCGGCGCGCUAUUGUGUCGCCGUAAUCGGAAUGAGUACACUUCAAAUCCUUUAACGAGGAUCCACUGGAGGGCAAGCCUGGUGCCAGCAGCCGCGGUAAUUCCAGCUCCAGCAGCGUAUAUUUAUAUUGCUGCGUUUAAAAAGCUCGUAGUUGAAGCGUCAGACGCGGGAGGGCGGACGGCCGCACUGGUCGCUCUCGCCCGACCGAGCCAGGCGCAGAGGGCGCGCGUCGCUUGCACUUCGCCGUGUGAGCGCGCCGCCGCUGCACGUUCACCUUGAAGAAAUUGAACCGCUUAGAGGGGGCGAGCAGCUUGAACAGCUCAGCAUGGUAUGAUGGAACAUGGGCUCGUACUCAUUUUGUUGGUUAGAGAGUCGGCGAGCCAAUGAUUAACCAGGGACUNCCGGGGGCAUUCGUACUCGGAGCGGGAGAGGUAAAUUCAGAUCUCACAAAGCUGAAACUUAAAGGAAUUGACGGAAGGGCACCACCAGGAGUGGAGCCUGCGGCUUAAUUUGACUCAACACGGGAAACCUCACCCGGCCCGAACACUGUUAUGACAGACAGGUUGAGAGCUCUUUCUCGAUUCAGUGGUUGGUGGUGCAUGGCCGUUCUUAGUUCGUGGAGCGAUCUGUCUGGUUAAUUCCGAUAACGAACGAGACUCUUGCCUGCUAAAUAGACGGCGCCGAUCCAAUGCGGCGACCGUUCGCUUCUUAGAGGGACAAGCGGCUUUUAGCCGCGUGAAGCAGAGAGCAAUAACAGGUCAGUGAUGCCCUCAGAUGUUCGGGGCCGCACGCGCGCUACACUGUUUGCAUCAGCGUGUUUCUCCCGCGCCGGCCGGCGUGGGCAACCCGUUGAACCGCAAACGUGCUAGGGAUCGGAGAUUGCAAUUGUUCUCCGUGAACGAGGAAUUCCUUGUACUGGCGAGUCAUCAGCUCGCGGGGAAUCUGUCCCUGCCCUUUGUACACACCGCCCGUCGCUACUACCGAUUGAGUGGUUUAGUGAGGCUCACGGACUGCGCGCGGCACACGGCGCUUUCGGGCGCCGCGUCGCGAGGCGGAAAGUGAGACGAACUUGAUCACUUCUAGGAAGUAAAAGUCGUAACAAGGUUUUCGUAGGUGAACCUGGGGAAAA
rnacentral:rRNA from 1 species